rnacentral:rRNA from 1 species
UACGAAGGGGGCUAGCGUUGCUCGGAAUUACUGGGCGUAAAGCGCGUGUAGGCGGUCCGGUAAGUCCGCUGUGAAAGUCGAGGGCUCAACCCUCGAAUGCCGGUGGAUACUGUCGGGCUUGAGUACGGGAGAGGCGAGUGGAAUUCCUGGUGUAGCGGUGAAAUGCGCAGAUAUCAGGAGGAACACCGAUUGCGAAGGCAGCUCGCUGGAACGUUACUGACGCUGAGACACGAAGGCCAGGGGAGCAAACGGG